GUGGAAGGACCAUUCUGCACCUGAUGCAUCAGCAAAUUUGUUUUGAUCACUCUUAAAAUGUAUACCUUUGUAACGGCUUUCUUCCUCGUGCUGUGUUCAGGACUUCUACAGGUUUCAGUAGCUGCAAACCGUCUGCGAUGGUUUAUUUCAUCAGAGGUUAAU